AUGGCGCCACCGCUCCCAGUGCCUCCCAGUUGCUCCCAGUAUGGCCCAGUCCAUCCCAGUAUGGCCCAGUAUGGCUCCCAGUCCAUCCCAGUCCAUCCCAGUAUGGCCCAGUAUGGCUCCCAGUGCCUCCCAGUUGCUCCCAGUCCAUCCCAGUAUGGCUCCCAGUCCAACCCAGUGCCUCCCAGUUGCUCCCAGUAUGGCUCCCAGUCCAUCCCAGUAUGGCCCAGAAUGGCUCCCAGUCCAUCCCAGUAUGACCCAGUCCAUCCCAGUAUGGCUCCCAGUUGCUCCCAGUCCAUCCCAGUAUGGCCCAGUAUGGCUCCCAGUCCAUCCCAGUAUGGCCCAGUAUGGCUCCCAGUUGCUCCCAGUAUGGCUCCCAGUUGCUCCCAGUAUGGCCCAGUAUGGCUCCCAGUUGCUCCCAGUUGGUCCCAGUAUGGCCCAGUUGCUCCCAGUAUGGCCCAGUAUGGCCCCAGUAUGGCCCAGUCCAUCCCAGUAUGGCUCCCAGUAUGGCCCAGUCCAUCCCAGUAUGGCUCCCAGUUGCUCCCAGUUGCUCCCAGUCCAUCCCAGUAUGGCUCCCAGUUGUUCCCAGUCCAUCCCAGUAUGGCCCAGUAUGGCUCCCAGUGCCUCCCAGUCCAUCCCAGUAUGGCUCCCAGUGCCUCCCAGUCCAUCCCAGUAUGGCCCAGUAUGCCUCCCAGUUGCUCCCAGUUGCUCCCAGUAUGGCCCANACUUUCACUUUCACUUUCUCAUUCGCCUUCACUUCCUCAUUCCCUUCUAUUUCCACUUCCCUCGCUUUCAUGUCCGCUUCCGCUCCCACUUUUACUUUCACUUUCUCACUUUCACUUUCCGCACAUUCACACCCACUUCCGCUUUCAAUCCCAUUUUUACUUUCACUUUCACUUUCUCAUUCGCCUUCACUUCCUCAUUCCCUUCUAUUUCCACUUCCCUCACAUACAUGCCCGCUUCCGCUCCCACUUUUACUUUCACUUUCUCACUUUCAGUUUCGCUUUCUCUACGUUCAUGCCUGCUUCCGCUUUUGCUCCCAUUUUUACUUUCACUUUCACUUUCUCACUCACCUUCACUUCCUCAUUCCCUUCUAUUUCCACUUCCCUUACUUUCAGGUCCGCUUCCGCUCCCACUUUUACUUUCACUUUCUCACUUUCACUUUCACUUCCUCUACAUUCACGCCCACUUCCGCUUCCACCCCCCUUCCCAUUUUUACUUUCACUUUCACUUUCUCAUUCGCCUUCACUUCCUCAUUCACUUCCACUUCCCUCACUCUCAGGUCCGCUUCCGCUCCCACUUUUACUUUCACUUUCUCAGUUUCACUUUCCCUACAUUCACGCCCACUUCCGCUUCCGCUCCCAUUCCCAUUUUUACUUUCACUUUCACUUUCUCACUCGCCUUCACUUCCUCAUUCACUUCUACUUCCACUUCCCUUACUUCCAUCUCUGCUUCCGCUCCCACUUCUACUUCCACUUUCACUUCCUCACUUUCACUUUCUCACUUUCACUUCUCCUACCUUCACUCCCACUUCCGCUUCCGCUCCCAUUCCCAUUUUUACUUUCACUUCCACUUUCUCACUCACCUUCCUCAUUCACUUCUACUUCCACUUCCCUUACUUUCAUCACCGCUUCCGCUCCCACUUUUACUUUCACUUUCUCACUUUUAGUUUCACUUCCCCUACAUUCACGCCCACUUCCGCUCCCAUUCCCAUUUUUACUUUCACUUUCACUUUCUCACUUUCACUUCUCCUCCAUUCACGCCCACUUCCGCUUCCGCUCCCAUUUUUACUUUCACUUUCGCUUUCUCACUCGCCUUCACUUCCUCCCUCACUUCCACUUCCCUCACUCUCGGGCCCGCUCCCACUUUUACUUUCACUUUCACUUUCUCACUUUCACUUCUUCUCCAUUCACAUCCACUUCCGCUUCCGCUCCCAUUCCCAUUUUUACUUUCACUUUCACUUUCUCACUCGCCUUCACUUCCUCAUUCACUUCCACUUCCCUCACUCU
ensembl:lncRNA